rnacentral:rRNA from 1 species
CCUACGUGUGGCAGCAGUGGGGAAUAUUGGGCAAUGGGCGCAAGCCUGACCCAGCAACGCCGCGUGAAGGAAGAAGGCUUUCGGGUUGUAAACUUCUUUUGUCAGGGACGAAGCAAGUGACGGUACCUUACGAAUAAGCCACGGCUAACUACGCGCCAGCAGCCGCGGUAAUACGUAGGUGGCAAGCGUUAUCCGGAUUUAUUGGGUGUAAAGGGCGUGUAGGCGGGAAUGCAAGUCAGAUGUGAAAACUAUGGGAUCAACCCAUAGCCUGCAUUUGAAACUGUAUUUCUUGAGUGCUGGAGAGGCAAUCGGAAUGCCGUGUGUAGCGGUGAAAUGCGUAGAUAUACGGAGGAACACCAGUGGCGAAGGCGGAUUGCUGGACAGUAACUGACGCUGAGGCGCGAAAGCGUGGGGAGCAAACAGGAUUAGAUACCCCAGUAGUC